ensembl:ncRNA lncRNA:CR43356 long non-coding RNA:CR43356
CACAAUAGAAAGCAUAGGCGCUACAAUCGAAAAGUUUUCGGAUUAGAAUGCAGCUUAUUUAAGAUGGAAAACCAUUACUUAAUUACUACUCCUGGUCGUCAAGGUUCGGAAAAUCUCCAGAAGAACUGUGCCGUAAAACGCAGAUUGCAAUUUGAUUUCGUACCGUUGGAGGAGUCGGCUGGUCCAGCCAACAAACGUAUUAUGUACGAAGAUGACUUAAAAUCUGGCGAAUAUGUCCAAGGAAAUCGUAACAAUCAGUGUGAGACUCAAAAUGUGCUUCCGGGAGAUUCCUCAUCAAAUGAGUUUGCAGCUAAGGACAUGGAGCCGCCCCAUUGCCCAACUUUUCCAAAUAGAAUCGUUUCAAGAAGGCUUACUAAUUAAAACAGCAUAAGAGGUCUGCAGAGAGAUUCUGGAUGUGAAUAUAUAUAUAAAUAUAUAAUAUAUAUAUGAGUUAUUCUCAUCUGCAGUCUGAAUAAACAAUAACAAUGGUCGACUAGU